GGCAAUAUCAACAGUCUUAAUUUGAAAACAUUCAGCAAGAUGAACCUAGUGUGCUGGAGGUGACACUGGGAAAAUGUGUGCCUGGGUUUCGAAACCUGGCAGUUCUUCCCAAGCCGUGGAGGACUGUCUGUUCUUGGGGAAACCUAGCUCCUCACAGGCUUCUCCUUUCUCAUUCUUCUUACUUAUUUAUUUAGGAGGAACAGACAUCGA
rnacentral:lncRNA from 1 species